rnacentral:rRNA from 1 species
CGAGAGCCUGACGGAGCAACGCCGCGUGAGGGAGGAAGGCCUGUGGGUUGUAAACCUCUUUUCUCAGGGAAGAAGUACUGACGGUACCUGAGGAAUCAGCAUCGGCUAACUCCGUGCCAGCAGCCGCGGUAAGACGGAGGAUGCAAGCGUUAUCCGGAAUUAUUGGGCGUAAAGCGUCCGUAGGUGGUUUUAAAAGUCAGUUGUUAAAGCCCACAGCUCAACUGUGGAUCGGCAAUUGAAACUGUAAGACUUGAGUGUGGUAGGGGUAGAGGGAAUUCCUAGUGUAGCGGUGAAAUGCGUAGAUAUUAGGAAGAACACCAGUGGCGAAGGCGCUCUACUGGGCCAUAACUGACACUGAUGGACGAAAGCUAGGGGAGCG